UACGUAGGGGGCAAGCGUUGUCCGGAUUUACUGGGCGUAAAGGGCGCGUAGGCGGCAAUUCAAGUCAUCUGUGAAAUCUCCGAGCUUAACUCGGAACGGUCAGAUGAUACUGCUUUGCUAGAGUGCAGAAGGGGCAACCGGAAUUCUUGGUGUAGCGGUGAAAUGCGUAGAUAUCAAGAGGAACACCGGAGGUGAAGACGGGUUGCUGGGCUGACACUGACGCUGAGGCGCGAAAGCUAGGGUAGCAAACGGG
rnacentral:rRNA from 1 species